GAUGAACGCUGGCGGCGUGCCUAAUACAUGCAAGUCGAGCGAACGGACGAGAAGCUUGCUUCUCUGAUGUUAGCGGCGGACGGGUGAGUAACACGUGGAUAACCUACCUAUAAGACUGGGAUAACUUCGGGAAACCGGAGCUAAUACCGGAUAAUAUUUUGAACCGCAUGGUUCAAAAGUGAAAGACGGUCUUGCUGUCACUUAUAGAUGGAUCCGCGCUGCAUUAGCUAGUUGGUAAGGUAACGGCUUACCAAGGCAACGAUGCAUAGCCGACCUGAGAGGGUGAUCGGCCACACUGAAACUGAGACACGGUCCAGACUCCUACGGGAGGCAGCAGUAGGGAAUCUUCCGAAAUGGGCGAAAGCCUGACGGAGCAACGCCGCGUGAGUGAUGAAGGUCUUCGGAUCGUAAAACUCUGUUAUUAGGGAAGAACAUAUGUGUAAGUAACUGUGCACAUCUUGACGGUACCUAAUCAGAAAGCCACGGCUAACUACGUG
rnacentral:rRNA from 1 species